rnacentral:rRNA from 1 species
GACGAACGCUGGCGGCAGGCCUAACACAUGCAAGUCGAGCGAGCGGCGGACGGGUGAGUCAUGUAUGGGGACUGCCCGAUAGAGGGGGAUAACUAAUGGAAACGGUGGUUAAUACUGCAUACAGUAGGAUAACCUAUAUGGGAUUAGCUAGUAGGUAAGGGAAUGGCUUACCAAGGCGACGUUCCCUAGCUGGUCUGAGAGGAUGAUCAGCCACACUGGGACUGAGACACGGCCCAGACUCCUACGGAGGCAGCAGUGGGGAAUAUUGCACAAUGGGCGCAAGCCUGAUGCAGCCAUGCCGCGUGUAUGAAGAAGGCCCUAGGGUUGUAAAGUACUUUCAGUCGGGAGGCGUUACCGACAGAAGAAGCACCGGCUAACUCCGUGCCAGCAGCCGCGGUAAUUC